rnacentral:lncRNA from 1 species
UUUUAAAAGCUCCCCAGCUGAAUCUAAUGUGCAACUCAGACUGAGAACCUUUCUGUUAAGCCUUUAAAGGACAAACAGAAUUUCCUCAUGAACUGCAUUUGGAGGCUGCAUUUAAUUAUCAUCUGUUUUCAGUCUUUCAUAGAGCCAGUUUGUUAUCAAAAAUAUAAGUUUUCCAAUGUGGCCUGAUCAAUGUAACCUACACUGCAUCCGAUUCUUCCUCUGAUCUGAAUGCUGGGCUUCCAUAAAUGUGGCUGAAGACAGCUUUAGCUUUAAAUUUUUUUUUUUUUUCCGGCAGCUUUCCCAAUCUGUCGGUUCAUUGGGCUUAUGAAAGAACGGAACCUUCUGGUUUUUUCACAUACGCUGCUGUUGAAACGGUCUCCUCUAUCAGGUGGCUCCUGGUUUGGUGUGGAUGCCUUACACGUAAAAGGAUGAUGGAGUCCGAUAUGGUGACCCUGGACAAACCUCUUCCCUUUGUGCCUCACUCGUCCCCUCUGUAAAAUGGGAUGACUCUCCUACAGUUGCUGUGAGGAAUAAUGUGAUGGUGAAAGUCAGCCAACCCUACAACACGCUCUCCAAAAAUAAGGGGUUGUUCUACUUCAGGGGCCGUUCUCCUGAAACAAAGGAGUCUCAGAUUGUCUGUGUCUCUAGAACUUUCUCUCUGCAGCUGCCCCAGCAAGAAAAACCAGCAUUUUAGCUCAGACUCCUUCCCUGGAAGCCUUGGCUUUUUGAGCUGAAGGGUCAUUGAAAGACCAGACGGCAGAGAAGCCUUUUAGGUUACUGUUUCCAGAAGCUCCGUGGUUCCGUUAGAAACCCCAGUGCCCUGCAGAAGUGAAGGUCCUAAUUCUUGGACAAAACUGACAUGAGGAAUGUUUUGAGGAAAUGGCUUGGAGAUGUGGUCCUUUACCACAUAUCAGAGAUCAGACUCCUGGAAAUCACAGCCAUCUGGAUACUACUUCUGGGUAGUGCAGUUUGGUUACCGUCUACCCGACAUGCCUGCCCACGAGCCUCUCAGGAAGAAUUUCAGGGUGGAGCAGACGCUCCAAUCCAGGACCUAUUUCUCUCCCUUUAGAUACAAUUCUAAGAAGCUUCAUUUUAUUUUGGCAACCAACUGAAAAUAUGAAACAAAAUCAGAAGGAACAGGUGGACUGGAAACAGGAAAAGGGAUGGAUGACAGCUAUAUGAUCAAGCAGAAAGCAGAAGAAAAAUGGGAAGCAGAGCCAAGAACUAGGUGAGGCACAGAAUCCAGUAUAAAUUGUUGUAGAGGCCAAGAAGCUUCCUCUUCCUCUUAGCGGAUGCAUCAGGCUCGCCUGUUGACCUGCCUUAUCCACCAUAUCUAUGAGGUACACGCUAUGUU